rnacentral:rRNA from 1 species
ACCGGCGCACGGGUGCGUAACACGUAUAGAAUCUACCUAUAAUAGGGGAGUAGCUUGGAACGAGAUAAUACCGCAUAAGACCCCGACUCGGCAUCGAGUUGAGGUAAAAGCUUUGGCGAUUAUAGAUGAGUAUGCGUCCAAUUAGUUAGUUGGGGAGGUAACGGCUCACCAAGACGAUGAUUGGUAGGGGCUCUGAGAGGAGAAUCCCCCACACCGGCACUGAGAUACGGGCCAG